rnacentral:rRNA from 1 species
CCCUUUCGGGGGUACACGAGUGGCGAACGGGUGAGUAACACGUGAGUAACCUGCCCUUGACUUUGGGAUAACUUCAGGAAACUGGGGCUAAUACCGGAUAGGAGCUCCUGCUGCAUGGUGGGGGUUGGAAAGUUUCGGCGGUUGGGGAUGGACUCGCGGCUUAUCAGCUUGUUGGUGGGGUAGUGGCUUACCAAGGCUUUGACGGGUAGCCGGCCUGAGAGGGUGACCGGCCACAUUGGGACUGAGAUACGGCCCAG